GACGAACGCUGGCGGCGUGCUUAACACAUGCAAGUCGAACGGAAAGGCCCUGCUUGCAGGGUACUCGAGUGGCGAACGGGUGAGUAACACGUGGGUGAUCUGCCCUGCACUUCGGGAUAAGCUUGGGAAACUGGGUCUAAUACCGGAUAGGACCGCACUUUAGUGUGUGUGGUGGAAAGUUUUUUCGGUGUAGGAUGAGCUCGCGGCCUAUCAGCUUGUUGGUGGGGUAAUGGCCUACCAAGGCGGCGACGGGUAGCCGGCCUGAGAGGGUGUACGGCCACAUUGGGACUGAGAUACGGCCCAG
rnacentral:rRNA from 2 species